GGAGAGAUGGCUGAGCGGUUGAAGGCGCCCGCCUCGAAAGCGGGUAGGGGUGUAAGCCCCUCGCGAGUUCGAAUCUCGCU
rnacentral:tRNA from 1 species